GAGGAUGUAGAUCAGGCAGUAGAGCACAUGCUUAGCAUGUAUAAGGUCCUGGGUUCAAUCCCCAGCACCUCCG
rnacentral:tRNA from 1 species